UGCAAAAAAGAAAUCCAUUCAUAUUUUGAGCAGCCAAUGCCACGACUGUCAUGGUCUAAAAAUCCGAUAGCUGGAUAAUCCGAUAGUUCAUGACAGUGGUACAUUGUCUACUCGAAAUUUUUGAAAGAUACGUGUACGUAUA
rnacentral:precursor_RNA from 14 species